rnacentral:rRNA from 1 species
UACGGAGGGUGCAAGCAUUGAUCGGAAUUACUGGGCGUAAAGGGCGCGUAGGCGGCCGAAUAAGUCAGAUGUGAAAUUCCGGGGCUCAACCCCGGAGCUGCAUUUGAAACUAUUCGGCUAGAGUACAGUUAGGGUAAACGGAAUUCCACGUGUAGCGGUGAAAUGCGUAGAUAUGUGGAAGAACACCGGUGGUGAAGACGGUUUACUGGGCUGAGACUGACGCUGAGGCGCGAAAGCAUGGGGAGCAAACAGG